rnacentral:rRNA from 1 species
UCAAGCUACAAAGGGCUUAUGGUGGAUGACUUGGCACAGAUAGGCGAUGAAGGACGUGGUAAGCUGCGAUAAGCCUCGGGUAACCGCAAACAGGUAUUAAUCCGAGGAUUUCCGAAUGGAGCAAUCCACCGGGAGUAAUAUCCCGGUAUCCUGCUCUGAAAUUCAAAAUAGGGGCAGGAAGCGAGACCGGGCAAACUGAAACAUCUCAGUAGCCCGAGGAAGAGAAAAAGCCAUUGAUUCCCUCAGUAGCGGCGAGCGAAAGGGGAAUAGCCUAAACUCCGCAGCAAUGCGGAGGGUUGCGGGGCCAGACCAGGCCGUAAGGCCGGCUUCUUGCAUAUUCACAAUCGAACAGUCUGGAAAGACUGACCAAAGAAGGUGAUAGUCCUGUAGGUGAAAUGAAUAUGUAGAGGCUGGGUUUGGUACCCAAGUACAACGGGACACGUGGAACCCUGUUGGAAUCCGGCCCGACCACGGGCCAAGGCUAAAUACUAAUCUGUGACCGAUAGCGCAAUAGUACCGUGAGGGAAAGUUGAAAAGAACUCCUUUAAGGAGAGUGAAAUAGUACCUGAAAUCGUAAGCCUACAAGCUGUCUGAGGACUAUGCCUGCCGCAAGGCAGGAAUGUCUAAGGGCGUGCCUUUUGCAUAAUGAUCCUGCGAGUUACCGUAUGCAGCAAGGUUAAUCCCGAUAAACGGGAGGAGCCGUAGCGAAAGCGAGUCCGAACAGGGCGUCCAGUUGCGUGCGGUAGACCCGAAGCUGGGUGAUCUAUUCUUGGCCAGGCUGAAGCGUGGGUAAAACCACGUGGAGGGCCGAACCCAUCAGUGUUGAAAAACUGUGGGAUGAGCUGAGAAUUGGAGCGAAAGACUAAUCAAACCCAGAAAUAGCUGGUUCUCCCCGAAAUAACUCUAGGGUUAGCCUUGUGUCAAUGGGCGACGGGGGUAGAGUACUCGAUGGGCUAAGGACCCCACCAGGUUGCUGAACCCAACGAAACUCCGAAUACCGUCGUACCUUAUCACAGGAGUCAGCCUACGAGGGAUAAGCCUCGUGGACGCGAGAGGAACAUCUCAGACCGCAAGCUAAGGUCCCUAAUAUACGUUAAGUGGCAAAGGAUGUGGAUUUACGUUGACAACCGGGAUGUUGGCUCAGAGGCAGCCAUCAUUUAAAGAGUGCGUAACAGCUCACCGGUCGAUAGCGAGUCCGCGCCUACAAUGAUCGGGGCUAAACGUAUAACCGAAGCUGCGGAUUAUACCAUCUUCGGAUGGUGUAGUGGUAGGGGAGCAUUCCACGUUAGGUUGAAGGUAGACCGUAAGGACUACUGGACGAAGUGGAAGCGAUUAUGCAGGAAUGAGUAGCGAAAAUCCCGAUGAGAAAUCGGGACGCCGAAAGUCUAAGGUUUCCUGGGGAAGGUUAAUCCGCCCAGGGUUAGUCGUGCCUAAGCUGAGGCCGAAAGGCGUAAGCGAUGGACAGUAGGGUAAAAUAUUCCUACACCACCUAUUUAGCGUUACCAGUGCAGAGUGACGCAGGAGGUUAAGCCUACCCGGUAUUGGUUGUCCGGGGUUGCGCUCGUAGAGCCGCGAAAGCGGAAUUCAAGGGGCGCGAGGUUCCCAAUCUACGGAACGGGAGAACUGGCCCACACCAUGCUGCCAAGAAAAACCUCUGUAACGAGUUAAGUAGGUGCACGUACCGCAAUCCGACACAGGUAGACGGGCAUAAUAUGCUCAGGCGCUCGAGAGAACCCUCGUUAAGGAACUCGGCAAAAUGACCCCGUAACUUAGGGAAAAGGGGUGUCUUCGUUGGUGAACCGUACAGGGGAGCCGACGGGGAUCACAGUUAAGAGGAUCAGGCGACUGUUUAGCAAAAACUCAUCACUCUGCUAAGUCGUCGACUAAAGACGAUGUAUAGGGUGUGACACCUGCCCGGUGCUGGAAGGUUAAGGGAAAGGGUUAGUUUGAGCAAUCAAACGAAGCCUAGAACUGAAGCCCCAGUAAACGGCGGCCGUAACUAUAACGGUCCUAAGGUAGCGAAAUUCCUUGUCGGGUAAGUUCCGACCUGCACGAAUGGCGUAACGAUUUGGGCACUGUCUCAACGAGGGGCUUGGCGAAUUUGUAAUACCCGUGAAGAUGCGGGUUACCUGCGACAGGACAGAAAGACCCCGUGGAGCUUUACU